UAGCAACAGGCAAUAACACGUGUGUAGGGGUAGGUUUUGACGGUCGUUAAGUACCAAAUAUGACCGUCAAUAUUCUCAAGGAUGAAUGAGAACUAGCAUUUCUUACACGCAUAUUUAGUUUUAGAAUAAUGUAGUUCCACAUGUCCUUUGAGAGUAUUUGGGUGCAGGUGAAUAACCACAAAAGAAAGGAGAAAACACACUCCCAUGGCGAAGAAACACAACUCUGACCAAUGAGAGAUCACCACGGGGGCAGCACACAGAUCCAUGGACCCACAAACUGCAGCAAACCGCCUUACUGAGGCGGGUAGCAUCCACAACCAUCAUUGGGAUCCACCUGGAAGUCUACCGGACGAAGGCGGUUGUGAGUGGG
rnacentral:lncRNA from 1 species